GGCCAGAUGACCGAGUGGUUAAGGUGCUAGGUUCAGGUCCUAGUCUCAUUCUAUGGGGCGUGAGUUCGAAUCUCACUCUGGUCA
rnacentral:tRNA from 1 species